CAGCAGCCACGGGAAUACGUAGGUGACGAGCGUUGUCCGGAAUUAUUGGGCGUAAAGGGAGCGCAGGCGGUUGGAAUAGUCUGAUGUGAAAGCCCACGGCUUAACCGUGGAAGGUCAUUGGAAACUGUCCAACUUGAAUGCAGAAGAGGAAAGUGGAAUUCCAUGUGUAGCGGUGAAAUGCGUAGAUAUAUGGAGGAACACCAGUGGCGAAGGCGACUUCCUGGUCUGUAAUUGACGUUGAGGCUCGAAAGCGUGGGUAGCGAACGGGAUUAGAUACCCCAGUAGUCCCUGUCUCUUAUAC
rnacentral:rRNA from 1 species